GACGAACGCUGGUGGCGUGCUUAACACAUGCAAGUCGAACGGAAAGGCCCUGCUUUUGUGGGGUGCUCGAGUGGCGAACGGGUGAGAACACGUGAGUAACCUGCCCUUGACUUUGGGAUAACUUCAGGAAACUGGGGCUAAUACCGGAUAGGAGCUCCUGCUGCAUGGUGGGGGUUGGAAAGUUUCGGCGGUUGGGGAUGGACUCGCGGCUUAUCAGCUUGUUGGUGGGGUAGUGGCUUACCAAGGCUUUGACGGGUAGCCGGCCUGAGAGGGUGACCGGCCACAUUGGGACUGAGAUACGGCCCAGACUCCUACGGGAGGCAGCAGUGGGGAAUAUUGCACAAUGGGCGGAAGCCUGAUGCAGCAACGCCGCGUGCGGGAUGACGGCCUUCGGGUUGUAAACCGCUUUCGCCUGUGACGAAGCGUGAGUGACGGUAAUGGGUAAAGAAGCACCGGCUAACUACGUG
rnacentral:rRNA from 1 species